ACCUCAUUCCUAGAAAAUGGGCUUUAUAGCCAAAAAGACCCUAACAGCUGUAGCUAUAUAUAGUAAACCCCACCCCCUUUCUCAUAUUAUGUCCCACAGAAUUCAUGGGCAGAGGAUAAAAGAAGGAAGAAGUGGAAGAAAGGAAGAAGCAGAAGAAGGAAGAAGAGGAAGAGGAAGGAAAGGUGUUGUGGGUUGUGCUGUGCUGUGCUGCCAUGAUGCUGCUGUUGCUGCCCUGAUGCUGCUGCUGUGUUGUGGAGCUGUUGUUGCCUCUCUUAAGCUGUUGCCAGAAGGAACCCUAGGUUACCAGUGUAACUGCCUCUGCUGUGAGUGUGCAUGGGAGCUGAACAGCUGCACAGGAUGAGCUACUACAGUAUCAAUGAGUCCCAUGUACUUGGCAAAGGAUUUUUGAUAGAAGAGCAAGAGUCGAGGCCUACUGACGAAUCUCCAGUAGGAGAUUAGUGAGCUCCAGAGGGGUUUGGGCAUAGUGCCGGGUGCCCGUGCGAGUGCUGCAUUACGGGGCAACAGUAACUAUUUCCAAACACAACUCUUCAUUUGAUUAUUUUGAUGUAUUUCCCUUUUUGUGCUCUAAAUAUUUAAAUUGUUAUAUCUUAUGUAAUUAUCAUGCCUGUGGGUCCACAUGUAAAUAUACUAUAUAUAACAAUUUGGCUAUCAAGAGUAAGUGGAGAAUUUACAGGUAUAUAUAUGAUGAGUCUUCUGCUGAAUUAA